AAUCUCAUAGACAUUUAUUCCGCAGUCACCUGUCAGCGAAACAUUCUACGCAUUAUGCAAAGAAAAAGCUGGGCAUCAUAUUCCUGAAUUUCGAUUAAUAACAUCGGAAAAUAACUAAUAAGAAAAGAUAUACAUCGCCACAGCAGAGAUUUCCGACUAACCGAUUAUCUCAUGUUAUAAUUCCUGCAAUAGAAAUAUUUUCAUGGA